rnacentral:rRNA from 1 species
AGUUUGAUCCUGGCUCAGAUUGAACGCUGGCGUGAUGCUUUGGCUAACAUGCAAGUCGAACGGCAGCACGGACUUCGGUCUGGUGGCGAGUGGCGAACGGGUGAGUAAUGUAUCGGAACGUGCCUAGCGGGGGAUAACUACGCGAAAGCGUGGCUAAUACCGCAUACGCCCUUCGGGGGAAAGCGGGGGACCUUCGGGCCUCGCACUAUUAGAGCGGCCGAUAUCGGAUUAGCUAGUUGGUGGGGUAACGGCUCACUAAGGCGACGAUCCGUAGCUGGUUUGAGAGGACGACCAGCCACACUGGGACUGAGACACGGCCCAGACUCCUACGGAGGCAGCAGUGGGGAAUUUUGGGAUAAUGGGGGAAACCCUGAUCCAGCCAUCCCGCGUGUGCGAUGAAGGCCUUCGGGUUGUAAAGCACUUUUGGCAGGAAAAGAAACGGCACGGGAUAAUACCCGUGCAAUCGACGGUACCUGCAGAAUAAGCACCGGCUAACUACGUGCCAGCAGCCGCGGUAAUACGUAGGGUGCAAGCGUUAAUCGGAAUUACUGGCGUAAAAGCGUGCGCAGGCGGUUCGGAAAGAAAGAUGUGAAAUCCGUGAGCCACCUUUGGAACUGCAUUUUUAACUACCGAGCUAGGGAGUGUGUCAGAGGGAGGUGGAAUUCCGCGUGUAGCAGUGAAAUGCGUAGAUAUGCGGAGGAACACCGAUGGCGAAGGCAGCCUCUGGGAUAACACUGACGCUCAUGCACGAAAGCGUGGGGAGCAAACAGGAUUAGAUACCCCGGUAGUCCACGCCCUAAACGAUGUCAACUAGCUGUUGGGGCCUUCGGGCCUUGGUAGCGCAGCUAACGCGUGAAGUUGACCGCCUGGGGAGUACGGUCGCAAGAUUAAAACUCAAAGGAAUUGACGGGGACCCGCACAAGCGGUGGAUGAUGUGGAUUAAUUCGAUGCAACGCGAAAAACCUUACCUACCCUUGACAUGUCUGGAAUCCCGAAGAGAUUUGGGAGUGCUCGCAAGAGAACCGGAACACAGGUGCUGCAUGGCUGUCGUCAGCUCGUGUCGAGAUGUUGGGUUAAGUCCCGCAACGAGCGCAACCCUUGUCAUUAGUUGCGCGAAAGGGCACUUUAAUGAGAUCAAGCGGUGACAAACGAGGAAGGUGGGAUGGCGUCAAGUCCUCAUGGCCCUUAUGGGUAGGGCUUCACACGCCAUACAAUGGUCGGGACAGAGGGUCGCCAACCCGCGAGGGGGAGCCAAUCCCAGAAACCCGAUCGUAGUCCGGAUCGCAGUCUGCAACUCGACUGCGUGAAGUCGGAAUCGCUAGUAAUCGCGGAUCAGCAUGUCGCGGUGAAUACGUUCCCGGGUCUUGUACACACCGCCUGUCACACCAUGGGAGUGGGUUUUACCAGAAGUAGUUAGCCUAACCGUAAGGAGGGCGAUUACCACGGUAGGAUUCAUGACUGGGGUGAAGUCGUAACAAGGUAGC